GUAACCGCGGCCUCACCUUCAGUUCCAGUUCUCGGUAGAUCUGUGGCCGCAGUAGACUCAGCACGUAGGACGCCCGAGAAAACUUAAAACCUGUGGCGGAAGAGGAACAGGACUGAGAGCUUCCUGGCGAAGCGUCUCGGUGCGAAACUUCGACAGUUCACUCUUUUCCACAGAUGCUGCCUGGCCUGCUGAGUUCCUCCAGUGUCUUGUGUGUGUUACCCAUCCCAUUAAAAACCCAGCACUACAGAAACACCAACGGAAUCUCCAAAGACCUUAUCCCUGGGAGAGGAAGGAUCUUCACCUCGAAGGCGUAUGAAGUCAUGCGAUGACAGCAGAUGCUGAUCAACCUUGUGUUGGCCCAGUACAGCGGACCCCGGUAAGCUGCUGUGGGCAGCCCACACCCCAACAGGGGUUAUGGGCUUAAGAAGAGGAAGAGAUGCAGAUGCAAGAAAAAUGGAGGGUCCUGGAUGGAGUAGGAGGAAAAGUACGACUGAUGAUGGAGUAGGUUUGUAUAACAUUGUUGUCCAUAGAGCCUGUUCUGUGCUGUACCAUUUGAAGUCCUAUUCACACCAUCUCCACUUCCCUAUCACCACCCGCCACACACUAGGGGGAAUUUAUAGUGGGCAAUUAACCUACAGACAUGUACGUCUUUGGGAUGUGCGAGGGAAUUGGAGCACCCGGGGGGGGGGCAUGCAGUGUUACAUAUCCGGUAAGGAUGAUGUAAUUGUCUCGUGAUAAUGGGGUAUUGUGAUGUCACGUGAUGGCAUGGUAUCAAAGAAAAAGCCCACCACAGUGACGCAGUUCUCAUUUUUAUUUUGAGUGUAACGUUGUUGCUGGCAGUUUCCCAAAUCGCUGCCAGUUUUUGUUUGUUGCACCUUUGUUUUGCUUCACAGUCCAGUAUCGGAGAGGAAAGACAUUACCAGAGUAAGCCAAGUGAAGGAUUGGGUAAAGUUAAUAUCGUUCAGCUUCUUGGGAAUGAUCAACCUUUUUAAUUUUCAUUUGGGAAUUGUGGCAUGCACAUUUGAGUAAAACCCCUGUCAGGGCAGGAAGGUUUCUGCAGUGAGCACCCUCCAGUCAGAAGAAUUAAGACUGCCCUUCAUUCUUGAGUCCUGGAAGAAACCCAAGGACUACAAAAUAGAUGGAGAUCCAACAAUAUGGCGCCCGAACACAGGACAAUUUCUUGAAGGAAAACCGGACAAAGAAAGGAAGUUUUAAACGUGCAGCUGAGUCGUUCAUGACUUCAGGAAUUUAUGGAGACAAAGAGGAUUUCUUACAACCAUGGGAACUCCAAUCAAGAAUGGCCAACUACUACGAGAACUUAUCAAAUUCACGCAAAUACCAUCAGAAGUUGCAAUAUUAAAAUGUAAAGGUCACUCUAAUAUGACCACAUUGGAAAGCUGUGGAAUCGCAUGAAACUGCAAAAGGGGCAGCGGAGCAGGAAUAAAGAAAUAAAAGAAAGCCCAAUAACUGAAACCAAGUUAAACACUGUGUCACAGAUGAACAUGCAAGAUCAGUGAUCGAAUGAAGAAGUGAUACUGGAUGGAAAAUGGUAGGUUACUAAAUGACGAUGGAGUAUGGAGAUAUGGCACUAGUCAUACACUGGUGGCCCCAGCUGAGCUGCUUCCUUACCUGGCACAGCAGAUACACUCCUUAGAACACAUUGGAGUGCAAAAGAUGGUCAACAGGUUCUCUCAGGGGUGGUGGAAUCAAAAGUUCAGGAUGCAAGCUCGACAAACAGUUGAGAGAUGUAUGACAUGGCAGAAAACAAGCCCUGCAUCAGUGGAGAAACUACCUCAACUAAGUACUCCUGCCCCACCUGGUCCAUUUUUACAUCUACGUUUCUUUACCGAAGGGUCAAGGAUAUUCAGAUGUGUCAGUAAUGGUGGACAAAUUUUCAAGAUGGGUGGAAGCCAUCCCAGCAAGAAAAGUUCUUGCCACACACACACAGCCAAAACUCUGAUUAGGGAUGAUAUUCCUAGAUGGGGAUUUCCAUGUCACAUUGACUCCGACAAAGGAACACAUUUCACUGGGAGUGUUUGUCAAGAAUUAUGUUGACGGAUAAACAUUGAAUGGUCUUUUUAUUGUCCACAUCAUCCAGAGUCAUCAAGUUAAAAGAAUGAAUGGCGUCACCAAACAACAGUUGACUAAGUGUCACGAGGAAGGUGUACCAUGACCUACAUCUCUGUUUGGUUUGAUGCAGCAUCAGAGCAACCCCGACAAGAGAACAAAAUUGAGUCCAGUUGAAGAGGUGACAGGAGUGACCUAUAUCACUACUGGGAGCUCUCAGUCUCGGACAGGCUGAUAUACACAUUAUGGCAGACAGCUUAACUGAUUAUUGCGUGAAACUAACCCCAGCUGUUCAGUCUGUUUCCCAGCAGAUUACUCCUCACUGAAGUAGUCCAUCAGAGGAGGACGGACCAUAAGUGGAAACACACCAGCCACUGCAAUUGAUCCAAAAUGACUCCAGACAAAGACAAGUACUGUGAGAUGACUUCAAGUACAAAUAUAAUUAUUGGACAUCUUUAUUGAACAUUAUGGACUUUAUUUUGAUGCUUGUUGUUAUUAUAUUUUUUUGCCUAUUUCCCUUAUUCAUGACACACUGGUUGAAAUGACUGACAAUAAAUAUGCAGUACUAUAAAUGAUUUUGAAUAGUUUUUGAUUACUCUGUAACGUAGAUACUUAAAGUUUUAUUUUCGUCCCUGAAUUUUCAGAUGUGAUUCUGCCAGUGUCCCUUAUAGAAUCAAAGGGGGGACUGUUGGAAACCAUUGUUUUUAAUACUUUUUAUAAGAUGAAUUAAUGUAAGACUAAAGUUGUACUUUAACCAUUUGUACUUUUUAACAAACUCAUCUAUUUUUCACAGUAUGUGGUGGUUCAUCCCCAGCAAACAGUAUAGCAGUGAAACUAAUGGUUUAUCAGCUUUCUCAUUUUUCAUUGGCUAAGUAUUAGCACAUUACCCAUGUGACAUAAUUGUGCAACCAGUGAUUGGUUUAUUUUAUCUGCAGAAUUUUCUUAUCUCGAUUAUAAAGGUGAUGGGAUUUUUCAGAGGCACCAUCAUUAUUUUCUUUUAUCUUCAACUUACGGUAACACGAGGAAUUCUGCAGAUGCUGGAAAUUCAAGCAACACAUAUCAAAGUUGCUGGUGAACACAGCAGGCCAGGCAGCAUCUCUAGGAAGCGGUACAGUCGACGUUUCAGGCCGAGACCCUUCGUCAGGACUCAAUAUACGGUGUUGCUCCUCUGAGUGUGGCCUCAUCGUGGCAGUAAAGGAAGCCAUGAACUGACGUGUUGGAAUGGAAAUGGGAAGUCGGAUUGAAAUGGGUGGCCACUGGGAGAUCCCACUUUUUCUGGUGCUUGGCAAAGCGGUCUCCCAAUCUACAUUGAGUCUCACCGAUAUACAGGAGGCCACACCUGGAACACCGGACACAGUAAAUGACCCCACAGACUCACAGGUAAAGUGUCACCUCAAUGUGAGGGACUGUUUGGGGCCCUGAAUGGUAGUGAGGGAGGAGGUGCUGGGCAGGUGUUUCUCCAUUACUUCCACCAUCCCCAGCAGGAUCCCACCACACCCCCACUUUCCACAUGUGACUCCCUUGUCCCUUCAUCUCUCCCCACUGAUCUCCCUGCUGGUACUUAUCCUUGCAAGCGUAACAUGUGCCACACCAAUCGAUUUCCCAGCUCGUUACUUCACCCUCCCUCUCUCCCAGUUUCACCUAUCAUCUACUACUUUGUACUUCUUCCUCCCCUCCUCCCACCUUCUAACUCUGACUUCUCAUCUCUUUUCUCCCCAGUGCUGAUGAAGGAUUUUCCCUAAAACAUUAACCAUUUACCCUUUCCCACCGAUGCUGCCUGGCCUGCUGUGUUCCUCCAGUUUUCUGUGUGUGGCCAGUGAUAAUAACCAGGAUUCGGAUUCUGAACAAGAUUCAGUUUUGAGAUUAAACCAGGGUGACCAUGAUGGUGGGACAGGUUUGAGGGGCCGAGUGGCCUAGGCCUGCUAGUAAUUCAUAUGUUUGUACAUUCAGCAAAGGCCAGAUUUCGAGCUUCCUGUAAUCCUGUUCCAGCAGAACACAUUUGAAUACACUCUGAAUGACAGCACCUUGUGAUGAGAUAACACUGUUAUAUAACAUCCCCAAACGUCCCACAGUAUGUCACAGGAGCACUUUCAACUAAAACCUGACACCAAGCAAUGCUGGGAGGUACCUGGGGAAGGGAUCCAGACCAGGAUCCCUGGCCCACCGUGCCCGCACUGACCAUGUCAUCCAUCCAACUGAUCUCAUCUGUCUGCAGAAUGAAUGAACUGAGAUGGGCCAGCUUGCUCCCACCUCCAAUUGUCCUGUCACCUCUGAGCCCCUUCAGUUAUUUCAGAGUCUCUCUGAUUAUAUCUCCUUGUGUGCAUCCAGGAUGCCUUGAUCCACCCUCAAAAACAAUCCCCCCCCCCCAACCCUUCUCUCGCUAUCCAAGACCAAGUCUACAGCCUUUCCCAACACCGUUCCAAACCAAGCAGCGGGAACUGGGGAGUCAGCCUGGCUUCUUCUCCCUUCUCUCCUGAGGACCAUUUGCCGUGGGUACACGGUGCAGGGAACAGACAGUCUGGGCUGUGCCUGGUGCUAAUAACUCCCCCAGUUCAAGC